rnacentral:rRNA from 1 species
AAAAUAAAGUUUUAAGUACGUAUUAAUAAUGAUAAUAUGUAUACUAGUCUUGACCAAUUACGUGCCAGCAGUCGCGGUAAUACGUAAGAGACGAGCAUUAUUCAUAUUAAAUAGGUUUAAAGGGUACCCAGACGGUCAAAAUACCUUAACUAAAAGGAGUACUUGACUAGAGUUUUAUGUGAGAAGACCGUACUUGAGGUGGAGAGAUUAUAUUCUGUGAUACCAAGGGGACUGAUAAAGGCGAAAGCUGUCUUUUAUGUAAUAACUGACGUUGGAGGACGAAGGCAUAGAACACGAACAGGAUUUGACACCCUAGUAGUCUUUGCAGACAAUGAUGAAUGCCAUGGACUAGUCGCUAAAAUAACUACUCUAUCCUAGAUUGUUACACAAUCUAGGAUGCGAGUGUAGUUUAAGCAGAAUUAGUCUAUAAAUGAAAAUGAAAGCAUUUCACCUCAAGAGUAAUGUGGCAACGCAGGAACUGAAAUCACUAGACCGUUUCUGACACCAGUAGUGAAGUAUG